CCUACGGGAGGCAGCAGUAGGGAAUAUUGCUCAAUGGGGGAAACCCUGAAGCAGCAACGCCGCGUGGAGGAUGAAGGUUUUCGGAUUGUAAACUCCUUUUGUUAGAGAAGAUAAUGACGGUAUCUAACGAAUAAGCACCGGCUAACUCCGUGCCAGCAGCCGCGGUAAUACGGAGGGGGCAAGCGUUACUCGGAAUCACUGGGCGUAAAGAGCGCGUAGGCGGGAUAGCAAGUCAGAUGUGAAAUCCUAGGGCUUAACCAUAGAACUGCAUUUGAAACUGUUAUUCUAGAGUAUGGGAGAGGUAGGUGGAAUUCUUGGUGUAGGGGUAAAAUCCGUAGAGAUCAAGAGGAAUACUCAUUGCGAAGGCGACCUGCUAGAACAUAACUGACGCUGAUGCGCGAAAGCGUGGGGAGCAAACAGGAUUAGAUACCCUUGUAGUC
rnacentral:rRNA from 1 species